rnacentral:misc_RNA from 1 species
GAUGAAGAACGUAGUGAAAUGCGAUACGUAAUGUGAAUUGCAGAAUUCAGUGAAUCAUCGAGUCUUUGAACGCACAUUGCGCCCCCUGGUAUUCCGGGGGGCAUGCCUGUCCGAGCGUCAUUGCUGCCCUCAAGCACGGCUUGUGUGUUGGGCCUCCGUCCUCCUCCCGGGGGACGGGCCCGAAAGGCAGCGGCGGCACCGCGUCCGGUCCUCGAGCGUAUGGGGCUUCGUCACCCGCUCUUGUAGGCCCGGCCGGCGCUUGCCGACACAUCAAUCUUUUUUCCAGGUUGACCUCGGAUCAGGUAGGGAUACCCGCAGAACUUAAGCAUAUCAAUAAGCGGAGGA